ensembl:lncRNA
AUAUAUAUAUUAUAUAUAUAUGUAUAUAAUUAUAGUGAACACAUACAUUGUCAUGUUUUUUAUUCAUAGAAUCCUGCUGAAAUGUAAGCUAAUUGUAAUAAAUUAGCUCUGUUAUCUUAUUAGUUUGAAUUUAAGUCAAGAGAACACGAUUCCUUCAAUCUCCUUUUAGUUUGGGUUUCGGAGAAUGGGACACCAAUAGUGAUGUUUUGGGUAUCGCAACGUUUCUUCACUAUAAACUGAACUGAUGUUGCAUGCUUCAUGGAUAUAGGAUGGUGCAUCUAAAAUGUUUUCAAUCUCGUUGGGAAAAUAUUGCAUCCCCAUUGAGUGAAACGGCUCCUGAGUGACACAAUAACAGCCUCAUCUAUACUAUAUAAAGACACUAAGCACCCCCACCGUCUCAAACCACAUUUAAAAUAAUUCAGUUAAACAGCCUAGACAUGUUUUCUUCCUUGAAAUUCAACUUUCAAGUAAAUUAGAUCUUCUCUUGGGCUUUUGAUGUAUCUUGUAACAGAAAAACAAAGCCAAUUGUUUUCCCAUGAAAACAGAUAAUGAUCUUCCUAGUUUAGAAUACAGGGCAAACUUAUUUUGGAAUACAUUACUAUUCCGUAGAAUUACGAUCUGGGCACUAAAGGUUAACAGUACAAAGCAUUGCAGUUUUUAUUUCUUUUUCAAAAUUCUGCUUUUAUUGUAGACUAAUCAGGGCUGAUUAAGCUAUUGAAACAAAGCUUUUUUUGCCAUGUGCAUAAUGUCUGUAGUUCGAUGACACACUAUUAAUCAAUAAUAUCAUUACGCAUCACCAAUUCUGGUUACAUUCAUUUGCAACCUAUAAGCCCAAGCGUUGUUAGAUUGACGCUGUUAAUGGGCUUUUAACAGAUUCUCUCUUUUUCACCAAUCUGCUAAAGCAGGCCUGUCGCGUUCAAACAUGGUUCAUUACAAGUUACUGAACCUCAAAGAGAAGUCAGAAUUCUUUAAAAGUAGGUUCAGUGGUAGAAGUUAAGUGCAAUUAUGUCCCAUACUUGAAUUUUGAAUGACAAAGAUUCAGCAGUAGCGUUAUUUACUAAAAUUAUUACAAUAUUUGAAUUGUGAUUUUACAUCCUAUAUAAAAAUCAUAGAAAUUGUACGGAUAUGUAUUGUAAAGGCAUGGUUUUAAGAGCAUUUUAAUGCAGUGUCCUUGUCUUACUCUUCUACAUGAACAGUUCCGGACAGAGACAACUGUGGUAGGGUGAUUUGGUAAUUAUGAGUGCAGUACUGUCACAUUUCAUUUCAUUUGCUACCUGCUAUCAGGGCCGAAACAAAUAAGGGCUGAACGUGGUCUUCAAUUAAAAUGUGAAAAACUGUGUGGAAGACAAGCUAUGGGGAGUUCCUUAGUGCAUUCCAGCUCCGUCUUUGCUUAGAGAUUACCCGUGGCAGGUUGAUUUAAUCAUCUGCGGUAAGGGAACUAAUUAAAAUUUCUGCGCCCAUUUUGGUGAAAAGGCCUUUACAAUAGAAUUACCUUGACACGCUGUUGUCCCCCUCCGGGCCAUCUGUAUGCAGACACGGUGCUGCUUCUCAGCGCGCUUGACACGUCUUAUCUCCGGCGGUCGUCCACAGGUGUUCUCGGUCACGGGAGUGAGAUCCAAAUGCUGUGCAGGGACUGGGAUGCAGCCUAAUGCUGUUUACUCUCCCCAGUACAAGUGGCUUGCUGCGUUGCAGAAGUGAAGCAUCUCCGGUUUUAAAAAUUAUAAUAGUGGCCAACAUUUACAAGCUACAGACAAGCUUUUUUUCAUUUUUAAAGCUUUAACAACCUUUAGUUGUAGAUGAACAAAGUUGUCUUUUAAGGAUCAUUGUGUGUGCAGUGGUGAUGGCUGAGGUACACGACUCUGUUUUACAAUACACAAAGCCCCGUGUUAAACAGAGUAGCGCUCUGCUUGUGACCCACAUAAGCAACAAGUUAAGUUCAUGACAUCUUGCAACAUGAAAGUGGACAGCUGUUCUCCCAACAGCUGUCACAACUAAAAAUGACACUACAGUACUUUAACUCAAUUGAGCCCCAGAGAGAUGGACUAAACAUCUACAGUAACUAUAGUUAUAUACUGUAACCUUUAAACCUAAUAAAAUGUACUGACAUCGCCCUUUGUUCCCUCUCCCUUGUAAUUACAAAGUGUUUUUUAAUACGAGCCAUGAAAAUCAGAAAUGGAUGCCCUUCUGGUUGCAUUAUGAUGUGUUUUACAAAAAAAUAAGAUGGCAACAGCACAAAAGACAAACCAAAGAGGGUUCGCUGUGUCGCCUCACAGUAAGAAGGUCUUGGGCUCUGUGUGGAGUUUGCAUGUCCCUGUGCCUGCGUGGGCUCUCUCCAGGUACUCCGGUUUCCUUCCCAAAGUUCAAAAACAUGUUAUUUGGUUCUCUGAAUUGCCCAUUGGUCCACUUGGGGGGACACAAUGUUUGUCUGUCUCUGUCAGCCCUGUGCUUGACUUUACACGAUCCCUCGCUCAAUUUAAGAUGGGAUUGACUCUAACCUUUGAUCCUGUAAGAACAAGUGGUAUGGAAAACAUGCACUCGCUGUUUUCUUGACAAAAUAGUUUGACACAGUUUUUUUUAGGAUAAUUUCUGUAAUGCAUUCUAGGUGGAUCAAUUUUACAUUUUACGAAGACAUGAGACAACUAAACCAAUCAUUACUGAACAAUAAUGUUUAGUAGUACUGCGCCUCAAGCCGGGUCUAACAAUAGGUUGAUUGUGAUUGCGGUACACCUGCACAUGCUCUGCAUAUUUUGUGUCUGUGUAUUCAUAAAACUCACUCACAAGGUCAGGGUUCUUUAGUCUUACCUUAAUUUGCAGAAAUGUAAUGUCCAUCUCUGGUUCUUUAAGCAACCACACAGGAAUUAUUGGGCAAAUGACAGUAGGGAUAAGCUCUAUAUCAGUCACUCCUAGCUUCUUGCUGCUGCUCCCUCUAUCUAUCCAAAACUUGUCUUUGGUCCAUUGUGCCUUUCCCAGCAUGCCUGUAACACUUUUUUAGUUGGGUGAUGACCUCUCAGGUUUAUCCAAUAAUUAACCAACAGCUGCUUUCUGCAAUGAUACAAUGGCAUUUCUCCAUCUACCCAGCAAUAGGACUUUCACACUACCCUGUGGUGUCCCAUUUUCUACUUCACAUUUCUUGGACUUUUCCGUUCCUAUUCUUACCUGGAUAAUUAUUUUACUUAGAAAAGAGGUUCCCCUUAAAUAAUGCCACUGUCGUCCGCACCCCUCCCGUCGGCCGUCGAACCUGAAAUUAGUUUGACACCCCUGCUCUACAUAAUACAUUAAUCUCUCGUUUACCAUCCGUUCCACAAGCUUGCAUAUAUGUGAUGUUAGGGCUAUUGGUCUAAAAUUUGAUGGGUCACUUGCAUCUUUCCCCGGCUUCCUUAAAGGGACAAUCACAGCGUCCUUCUACCUUGCUGGUAUGCUACCUUCCUCCCACACCUUGCUGUAUAAUGUUUAGUAACUUAUUCAUCCCCUCUCCACUUAAUUGCUUUAACAUAAUAUACCAUAUUUGAGUAUUUCCUGGGGCAGUCAUUCCAGCUUUGACAACUGCUCUUUUUAACUCCCCUGUUGAAAACAGUACAUUCAAUUAAUCUUCAGUUUUCUCCUUCUUCCUCAAUGCCUCAAUUUUUACAUCUUGUUUCCUCUCCAGUUCGCUUUUCUUCCUUAGACAGAUUGUUAUUGCUGUGUAUCUUUACAAAAGGUAUUAGCCAAUGUCUCAGCCUUCUGUUUAUUCUUCUUCUCCAGCUUUUCCACAGGAUAACUCCUCUCUCUUCUGUUCCCUCCCAUCUUUCUAAUCAUCCCCCCACACUUCUCCUACUGAGGUUGUAUUUCCAACUGUGUCACAAAACUUCCUCCAGUGUGUCCUUUUUGGUUGCCUUAUUGUCUUUCUCACUAUUGCCUGUGCUUUUUUAAACUAUCCGAUAUUGAUAUAUAGAUCAUAUAGUUCUUUUCAUUAACUUAAAUGCCCGGUUUCUUUUUAUAAUUGCCUCUUUACACGUAUUGCUCCACCAUUGUACCGUUUUUUUCUGUUUGAUUUUACUUUUUAGUAUAGAUUCUAGCGCAGCUGCCCUAAUGCCUUCUGUUAUAAUAUAAUUUAGGGUUUCUAUAGGCGUAUCAUCAUUAAUCUUCCUUAGAUGCUGAUCGCUCUUUUCCUUAAAUCCUACAUGAUACACCUUCCAUUCAAACACUGCCGCAAUAUUAUUGGACACUAGUGAGAGGUCUAGUACAGACUCCUUUCCUGUCCUGAUAUGUAUCUUGCUAUUACUCCCAUCAUUUAGGCCAGAGGUGCCCAAUCUUUUUUGAACCAUGAUCUACUUUUAAAGUUGAUAGUGUAUCGAGAUCUCCCAAGCCAUCUAUUGAAAGCCGUAGCGUAGCCACAAUUCAUUGCGCACCUAUAUUAGGACACUGUUUUCUGACACAUAGAUACAGUUUUAGUAAGUAAAUGUGAAUUUGCAAGGAAUAAGCACAAGUAGGCCUAGGACUGGCCCGUAACAACACAACAGACAAACAACCCAAAUAAUACAAUGCCUAAUUCUUGGAACUUUUAUAAGAACUAAUUCAAGUUGGAAAAGUGGUAUUUCUAUACCUUAGUGGGAUUUCUGGCACUGAGAGGAGGAAGCUAGUCUCUCAUAGUCCGGACAGUAAGAGCUGAGUACCAGCCGUAAGCAGACUGCAAGGUGGUCAUCAGUCAUGGUGGAUCUGUAUUUUGACUUGAUGAUUUUCAUAUGUGAAAAGGCAGACUCACACAAAUAUGUUGAUCCAAAAAGUGCAGUCAAAUUCUCUGCAGUUUGUCUGAGGUUGGGGUACUUCUCUUUCUGCAUUAGAUUCUAGAAUUGGACAUUCAUGUCAGGUGUUGCUCUGGAUUUGAGCUCAAUGUCAUUCUUCAGUGUGAGGAUCUCAUUCUCAACAGCACAGCUAUCAGGGUUGAAGAGUGAUGCCACUUUGGACGUUAUACAAUCCACAUCUAUAUUUCCCCCAAAUGGAAAACAGAUAGCUGACAACAGGCUCAAUGGACGCAAAGUCAGUGAAGCGCCUGUCAAAUUCUGACAAGAUGCUCUGCACUUGCUCAUCAUAACGUGCACUCUCAAGCUCCGCCCAGUCUUUGCCCAUAGCCUGGACUGCCAAUGCAAACGCAUUGGCCGUGAGACCCACGCAUUUGAUGAAUUUCACACGCUCUCACGCCACACCUCCGAUUUCUCACGCCAAAAAAAUUGGGAGACUACCAUUGAAAAAGAGGGGCGCCAGACCAUAACAGUAAUGUAAGGUUCCCUUUCCUGUCCAUGGUCACGUUUACAACGAGCUCGGUAUCGCGCUGCGCCGAUACAUCCGCGCGCUCCGGAGCAGAAAGCGCGUCGUCGGUGUUCGUCUGCACCCCCCAUACACUUAUGGUUAAUAAAGUUAUUACUUAUUUGGGCAUAUGAAUUAUAUUUAUGAUUAUAAUUCUCUCGUUUAUCACAAAUAUUAGCAUUAAAUCAUAAUUUGGAGGGUACAUGGUUUUCACGAGGCAGGAAAGGUUUGAAAUUUGUAACCAGCCAUUUCAUUUAAUGUACUGUAGUGGAGUUUAAAGUACAGUGUUUGCCUCUAAAAUACAGCAGAGCAGACUAAAUUGAAGUUGCAUGAAUUCCUCAAAUGUCUACAUUAGUAAAUAUACUGUACAUUUCACCACUGGGUAAAAGCCUUAUGCUGUGUUUUGUAUUUGUUUUCAGAAUGAGACAGGGAUGGGCUGUGAGAGCUCUCCAGCAUCAUCCACUGUACUUCUAGAAAAUAAUCCAGCACUCUGGCCAAAACAGCUGUCGGAUAGUGCACGCUGCUCAAUAGUGGAGAGAGGACCACUUCAGGUGAAGGACAGGAUCUUCCCAAGGAAUGAAGACGGGCGCAGAUUUACCAGCAGCAACUACUACAUGCAGAUGAAAAAUGGAGAACAGAUAUGCAGAUCAUGGCUUGUCUACAGUAAAAAGAAGGACCGUGUUAUUUGUUUUUGCUGCCGCCUAUUUGGAAACCGAGAAAGGAGCAAUCAGCUGAGUGAGGAUGGGUUUAAUGAUUGGAAAAAUAUUUCAGCCGACCUGAGACAGCAUGAAAAGUCUGCUGAGCACAUUGCAAAUAUGGAUGCUUGACGCAACCUAUCGCAGAAACUCCAGACACACACUAUCAAUCAGAAGAACCAAAAUCUUCUCAUUUCAGAGGGCCCCAUGCCUGCCUCUGCCUUGGGCCCCAAAUUUCUUAAAUCCGCCACUGCCUACUGCCAUUUGGUCUCUGUUCUCCCCUUGCAUAAUUCACUUCUCAAUAUUCUGGCCAGUUGUAAUGGAUCCAUCCUUCAUAUUGUAUCACUACAUUAGGCAUUUUUUCUUUGGUUCCCAAACUUCCUUUUCUUCGGUUUCAUCCAAACUUGCUUCCCUCUUUUUUUUCUUCUUUUGCGCACCAUUGUCCAUUCACUCUCCUUCCCUAUUGGUGUCUCUUCCUCACUUAGCGCCAUGCUAUCACUAUAUCGUUCUCACAGCCAUCCCCCCACCAACAAUGACUACGCGCCUUACUCUUGCGCUCCUAGCCACCCCCCAAAUGUAUCUUAAAUGUCUGGUUGUUUCGCUCCACAGCUGAUCUCCUCUCCCUCCGACCACCCCUUCAAGGUAUGUCCUUAUUUUCAUCCCCCUCCUUCUCCCUGUCCCGCCCUAAAGUCCGGCCUUAAUCAGGUGGCCUAAACACUUACACCCGUGUAAGUUUCGAGGCCUUCUGGGAGCUGUAGUUCCAUCUGCAGCCGCCAUUUUGUAGGGGGCCAGCUACCCCUUAAAGGGGAAGUAGCACCCAUCAACCAGUUGGCCCCGUGUGAUGCCACAGUAUGAUAGUGGAUUAUGGAUUGAUGUUCUUCAGAUUUGUCUUAAAUAUGUUGAUAAGUGACUGCAUGCAUAUCCUGCUACUCUAGCUUAAAUGCCUUUCGUGUUCUGACGACCUUUGACGUUUGCAUAAUUUGUGUUGGUUAAAAUGGAUUUUCCUAAUGUCUUGACGUUUACAUGGAACAUGUUUGCGAACUGUCAAGCUAGAAAUUACAAUUAACGGUCAUCCAAAAACAAUUUAUUUUGUGUGCACACUAAUAUGCAACGUUUAGGGAAAUGUAAACAGGUGUACUUAAAGGCUCAAAUGCUGUUACUCAAUAAUGUCAUCUAACCGUAUUAUACAAAAACAAUACGGUACUUGGGGCAGUACUUUAUCACGGGAGAACAAGGAUUAGGACCCAAAUGCAACCACAGGAGCAAGCAUAUGGUUACCAAAUUUAUUCGUCGCUCCAAAAAGACAAUUCACGACAUGAGUCCCGUGACUCGACGUCAGAAGGUAGGCGGAUCAGGACAUGAGUCCCGUGACUCGACGUCAGAAGGUAGGCGGAUCACGACAUGAGUCCCGUGACUCGACGUCAGAAGGUAGGCGGAUCACGACAUGAGUCCCGUGACUCGACGUCAGAAGGUAGGCGGAUCACGACAUGAGUCCCGUGACUCGCCGUCAGAAGGUAGGCGGAUCACGACAUGAGUCCCGUGACUCGACGUUAGAAGGUAGGCGGAUCACGGCGUGAGUUCUGUGGCUCAACGUCAGAGGCAAGAUGAGUACCACAACUCUACAGACAGAGAGCGAGAAAGUCGGUAGUGCACAAAGUCAGGCAAUGGCACUGACAGAACGGCAGACUGACAACCCAAGCCUGCAAGGCCAAGGUUGAAAUACAGCCGUUGACGAGUCCUCAUUGGUCUCAGCUACAUACUGCUCGGGGGAUGUGGCAAUGGGCGCCGUCUGGAGGUGGGACCAAGAACACACUCACAACAAGAACAUGGCAAAACACACAGGGGGAUGACCCACAUGUGGGAAUGAGACUCAGGGAUCCUGAGACUUUAUCGGCAAUAUUGAUACUGUUCAAGUUUUUGCCUAACACCCUUGAACUGUAACAUUAUUGACAAUAAAGUAUAGGCUCUCGCACCUCUCGAGUAAAACCCAGUUAAAGAACGGAGCAAUUAUCUUCUAAUACGGGGCAAUUAUGAUUUUUGCCUGCGCAUAAGAUCGAUGCAGUUGACUGAACUUCCUCUAGGAAUUCAUGGUUUAUUACAUGACGACAGUUACAGCCCACGGUACACAGCCAAAGGGCAAUCAACUAUCUAAUGAGACGCUCCCUGCAGUAACUGUCACUCAGCCCCCGCCCUUGGCACACAUUCACCACCUGCACAUGAGAGUCAUGCAGCCAUCGAACAAUUACUCCACAUCCUCAUUAUCAGUAUUAAUCCUAAAAGAAUUGUAAGUUUGUGAAUUUAAAUAUUAUCCAUAGCACUGAUAGUCCCGACCAUUAUGGGAACAUUUGGUCUGAUUGCUGUGAUGUGUUAUGUUACACAAUAAUUACUGUGGCACUGUCAGGACUGUGUAAAUAAUCAUUAGGAGGGAACGAGUGUUCUUCGUCUCACUGUAAAGACCCUUUCAUGUGUUGAUUUAAACAACCUGUGCAUAUUUACAGGUUGCCACCAUUGGUAGCUGGCCCAUAGAGGGCCAUGGGGCCUGGCCCCACUUGAGCCCCCCAUCUCCCAAAUAGCUAACUAAAGCCUAGUUAAUGCUUCUUUAAUUUGUACUUGAGUACAAUACUUAGGCAAAUAUACAGUAAUAGUUACAUUCCACCACUGAUCAUAAUAUGUGCUCUUGCCACUCUUAUCAAAACCAUACAAUGUACUGAUUAUUAUAAAGAGGUGGAAUGACAUAGAGCAGGAUCGGCUUCAUUCCAUUGGUCGUGCAUUCCACAACAGUCCCUGUUUGUUAUGUGGCCCAUUGUGAAAAAUGAUUGCCCACUCCUAUGUUUGGGCAUGGUCCCUACCAAGAAGUGGAGUUGACAGAACCAGCCAGAUUGAUGUCAUGUUCAGGUAUCAGUUUUAGGCCAAUACAGAGCGGGUUGGUAGAACCUCCAGAUCUUAGUUAGAGAGUUGUGUAACUAACUAACAGGAUUAUACUUCAAUACAGACUUCUUUCUCGGUUUCAGAUGUUUCGCUGCAGGUUCCUUUUCUCAGAAUUGCGCAAUGAUUCAGGCUUUCUCGGGCAAUGGAUACAAUACAAAUCGAAGCCUGGAGAUGCUUGUGGGCAUUUUCCCUUUUCUAUUUUUUUUUUGAUGUUGAGUUAAGUUGGAAGUGUGAGAAGAAUGAUUGUUAUUUUCUAAAACACUCUAUGGUUAUUCCAUUUGUCAGGCUUUCAGCUGCAUGCUAGAUAUGCUGUAGAGCUCUGUUUGAUCCAGAAGCCAGCUGGUAGACACUGACAAAAUGCUGAUGGAGGUGAUUACUUUGAACCCAGCAUGUCACUCUAGACCCUCCAAAUGAGAGCAUUUAUGUUUCAAAUCUUGCAAUGUCAGAAUUACCUCAACCUUUGUCUCCAGACAGAAAAAAAUCUCAAGCUCAGCUUUUUAUCUGUAAUCUUGUUUGACUGAUUAGCUAUGUUCUUCAAUCAAAGGCCUAUAGCUUUUGGAGGUGCUUGGAGUAGUUAUUUUUGAUAGAUGUAUCAUAUACUUCUGGCUGACUGUGUGCCAGAGAUAGAAAAUAACAGAGAAAACAGUUUAAUAGACUAUUUUUCUGUUUUCUUGAUGUGCCCUUGUAAAGAGACUAUUAAGUUGUCUUUUGAGAUAAAUUACAAUGCUGAUAAAGUGAGCAGGUUUGUUGAUCUGACUGAUCUCAGUGAGCCAUAAAGGAAGCCAGAAGGCAUAGAGUGUCUCUGUAAUGGCCGAACAGGAAUCCGAUACCAUCACACAGCAUCAAUGUGAGACGGAUCUAUUGUACGGUGCAUUUUGCUCCGCAUAAAACAAUGUGUUGAUUUGCAGUCCUCUUCAGUGAGCCCUUUUGUGAUUGUAUUUGUAAAAACAUUUAGCAAGUAAUAAAAGCCAAGAAAUCAGCUGAAGGUGAAGUUGAACAUUUCUCACAACCAAUAAAACGUUGCUGUAACAAAAUGUGAACUGGAAAGAGUUUGGAAAGUGGAAAGAAAAAUAACUUAAGAAAUUAAAGACCUUUCCUACAGCAUCCUAUGCAGGUGAACACAUGAAUGAACCAGAGGGACUUCUAGUAAAAUAUAACCUUGGGCGUUGUGUCACUAGCUACAGUAGCUAGCUAGCCAUGUACCUUCUAUUUAAACUUAUUUAAGUCAGUGUUUCCCCUCAGUUAUUAAAGUCUGAAAGUUUUUAGCUGCACACGGCAGUUUUGUCCCAAUGGACACAGGCAGACACAAUGAUUAAUAUUUCCCAAAUUGCAAUGAUCUAAUAAAUACACUUCCUGCUCCUACAGACGAGAAACACUGUAAUCAUGCUGUAAACUGUAAACAGUUCAUAUAUUGUUCAUAGUUUGAAGUUAAAAGGUUUGAAGCUUUAGUUUUUAGUCAAGUGUUUUUUUAUUUAUUUAUAUGUACAGUAUUGAUAAUGUAGUUUAUUCAAUUUGAAGAAAAAAAUUGCCAUGGCAAUAAAAAGUUAAUCAAUCGUUGUUAUGUGAGUUUUUUAAUCCAAAAGUCGGUUUAGGCACUGGUAUCGUUUUAAACGGUUUAGUAUUGUAAAAAAACCCAACUAUAUUCAUCCCUAACUGUAUGACAAAAUUGGUUGAGGAUUAAACCAUUAGUAACGCUAUGUACUGAGCUACAGCUAACCUUAGUCCUGACCUCUCUUCAUAAACAUAAAUAACUCACUUCUCCGUACAGCAGCACUGAAAGUUGACACUUAAGUUAUAAAUCACAAGUGUCAAACUCAAGGUCCGCGGGCCACAUCCGGCCCGCCGGGGGGUCCAGUGCGGACCGCCGGAUGACUUUGCUAUUGUGAGAUAUACAGACAUAAAUUGCAUUUCUAUAAAAGUAGCUGCUAUUCCUAAAAAGUGCACUGGGACACAUACUCUGUGAGUGAGCGCAUGCGUUAGACCAGGGGGAUCCGGUCGAUCACCAACGCAGUGCCGGUAAAUCAUCCAGAUCAACAGUGGUUCGUCGAAUGCAUGGCUGGAUGAAGAGCAAGAAAAAGAUGGCUCUGUAACGGUCACAUGUGGUUACAGAGAUGUGCUACCUGAAACCAUUCCAGGAGCUGUCAGCAUGUCACAACCGCCAGAAAAAAGACUGCUCACUUCCCAGGGGGCCGUAGGGAAAGGUAGAGAUGGACAUUAUAAUGCUGAUAGAAAGCUGGUUGAGACUUCACAUGAACACACAAACUGCCUCUGUAAAUAACUAUAGUAAAUGUUAUACCAGGAUUUAUGCUUAAGGCUGUAGGCUUAUUUGCAAUUCAACAUGCCAAAGUAGAAACCAUUGGUUGGGACUGAGCCCCAAGGCAGUCAACCAUGAGACAGCAUCACAUUGCUGGAUUACUUGUGACAUGUUGGAGGUAUUGUUUUCACAGCUCAUAAGAUACCUAACUCAAGAUUCAACAUUUCACACCUGUAGAUGCAGUCAAAUGCUUCCCCUCGCUUUACAAUGUGUUUGUGAAGAAACGUCUCAGGGGGGUGUAGUAUGUACUGGAGCAAAUAAAGCGGGAGAUUACAUAACAAAUAUAAAGUCCUUCAGUGAACCUUUCUGAAAAGAUGGGCAUCCGGAAGGAAUAACAAUGUGUUUGAGGCUGUUUUCUGGCUGCUGAUUCAGAGGUCAGAGUUAAAGUAGAAGUUAUCUCCCCCCAUCAAAAAGUGAGAUGUGAUGGAUAUUAAACUCCAAUCAGAACAUGGUCAACAUGGGUUAGCAUAAAGACGGAAAGCAAGAAGGAAAUUUUUUAAUCACUAUGUAUUAAGUGCAAUAAAUCAUGAUAGUAUGUUUUUGAAGCAGAUGACUUUCAUGCUGAUUUUGGCAAAAUAAAUGAACUACACCAGUGGCAAGAAACAAAAGUCUGUGAGGAUUCUUCAAAUAGGCUUGUCAAAUGACCUGUCGCCGGCUUUGAUCCUGCCCUGAUGAAAACAGAGACUUAUUUCUGAGACUUUAAUCAUCAAUGUGAAAUGGAUGAUUAAAUGAGCCACUCUGGUGGGAGCUAACUGAAACCAGGAGUAAUGAACCGGAUUGGAUUUUUAAUGAAGGUCUAAUAUAUUGUCCUAAAACUACUUCACACCUUAAAAAAAACAAAAACUAAGUUAACUUGCAAACCAACUAUAGUCGAAGCACACUUUAGACAGCCCUCUUAUAGUUUUUAAAGAGAACUUACAUACAGUAUAUUAAUUUACAUACUUGACUUUAUUAUGUUUUGCAACAAAAGGUACGCCCUGAUGCUGCAGGAUGAACUAUAUCAGCGAAGUUGAGUCAUAUCAGCUGAUUUUAAUAGUAAGACUUUCUCUCGGAAACAACUGUUUUGCGAUUCCGUGAGUGCGUAAGGUAAGGGAUCAGAUCACAUUCAAUUCCUCCCACCGCAAUGAUUUGCAUGUCCGAUCAAUCUGAAAAGUAUGCAUCCAGCUCGAACUCUGCAUGAAAUAAUUUGUAGAGUGAAUGCACGGUAUAGUGCAGGGCUCUUCAAUUAAUUUGGAAUUGGGGCCAGUUCAUGAAAUUAAGGCAAAAUAAGGGGCCGGAGAAAAUUAGUAAUUAUAGUAACAAAUAAACAAAUUACAACAACAUACUGAAGGAGCCAAUAUAUUCUGUUUUUUAAAUGCAAAACAACAUAUGCACAUUGUGAUGCACUAAGACAAAUAGGCAUUGUUACAUUCAAAUGGCAAUACAUGUUGAAAAAUCAGAGACACAGACAAUUGUUGUUUAGUUGUUUCUACAAGCGCCUCUCCAGAAAGCUGUGAGACAGCUGCUUAUUAAGCUCACUAUUAAGCUGCUAUUUGUCACCAACAACAGUUAAUAAGAUAUAUGCCAGUGCUAAAUGUUCCACCCUAUUAAACUGCUAAGCAGGCGCUUUCCUUGUCUGUUGACCAGGUAGAGCAUAGUGGAAUAUUACAGCUUUUCUGCAGCUGUCAGCUUCAGCUAAAAGUCUCAAUAUGAGAGAAGUGAAAGGUAACCAAAAACAAAGUUAUGGCCUGAAAGUUUAAGAAUGACCUGACCCACUAUAUAUCUCUAAAGCUGACGCGAGCUGCAGAUUUUAGUCAUAAUGUAGGUAAAUUGUUAUAAUAGAAUAAAUAGAGAUCAGUGCCUUUGAAGCUUCACUAAUAAAUAUUUGUUAUUAACAGUGGAUCAUACCACUAUGUGUGGUGUGAAAGGGUUGAUGUAACACUACUUUGUGUACUUAAAAAAGAAAGGUGUAACUGACAGUGAAAUGUCCCUACUGACCUAACGUAGGCCCGGGUGGACCCAACCCUUUUCUUGCUGGUUAUCAAUUAGGGUCCUCCAAUAUUUAAGCCACACCAGAGCGGUUUUCUUUCUCCCUACAGAUUCCCAGGUUUUUCACUGUAGCUUGCAAGGUGAGGCAUAUUUGCUGUUUGACUUAACAUCUGGUUAAUGAAAACCAAAUUUCUGAGGUAUCCGCAACAUUUCAAGAUCGCAACGAGGUUGAUUUAGUUGACUCUCAAUGUCAUGGGAGUUGCGUGGGAAAAAAAGGCAGGACUCAAACGCAGAGUUUCUUGAGAAACAAAAGGGACUUUAAUAGUCAAAAAAGGUUUUCAAAAUCAAAAGGCCAAAAAGGCAAAAACGAAGGCAGAAACAGGAACCAGGAUCGGGAUCGGGAACAGGAACAAGAGACACACGGCUUAAAUACACUGGGAGGUGCAGGUGAUUGGACACAGGUGGAAACGAUCAGACAAUCACAGGGAAUGACAGGACCAGGCAGGAAGUGAAGAAACAAAGCAGAAAACACAAAAUAAAAUAAAAUAAAACACUCAAGACACUCAAGCCAUUUCUAUUUGUUUGUGCCACUGAAUUGCACUGAUGUGAUUUCCUGACAGAAAGGGCUGCCUGACAUGAUGCAGUUUUUCUGAGUAGGGUUGUAUAACCUGCUGUAGAUUGAAGCAGGCAGAAGGCGGAUCUGAACCCUUCAUAUUUCCUUAAACUAGACUGACUAGUUUUCUUAGAAAAACGGCAAAAAUGUGUUUUCAUUUCAACCACACUUGAAGAUGAAGCAAACCACAAACAAUGCAAAAACUAAAAAACACAAUCAGCUUUAAGAUUCUAGUAGCAGAAGAGUUAACCUCUUUGUUCUCUUACUUCUACUAAAGCUCUGACUUACUUAAUUAAUCUUAGGCCCUCAUAUACGUACAUUUGUAAACGUAGUAUUAUCAGCAGCACGGCCAACCCGCAGCAAAUGCACACUACAAUACUUCAGCUUCCAUCAUAUUUACAAAACCUGCGCAAUUGAAUGGACCUCCUACUCUUUCUAUUAUGGAUCAGCAAAAGUCAAAACAAAAAUAGAGUAACAAAACAAGGUGUUAUUUUGGCAUCGGUGGUAAGGAAUUGUAGGUAUUGACUGGUGCGCUGAAGCAAAGCGUGAAGUACCUGUGAAGUACUGCUGUCAUAUGGCUGAGUGCACACUGAUAUAUUCCCUCUGCUGAUGCUAUGACUGUUUGAAAUGAUCCUGAUGCCAAUAAUUGUAAUAUAGCGAGGAGUUUAACAACAGCUGGAAUGGAAUGUGAACGCUGAGUGGGAGAUGCAAUGUCAUCUUUGAUUUUUCAUCAAGUAACUGUAAUAUUGCAUGGAUUCUUAAUCUGUAACUAUUGCGCUUUUGCAAGCGGAAAACUAAUGCUAAUUAGCGAUCCUUAUCAUUAGCUUACUAACAGACACAUUUUAUUUCAUUCACAAGCAACCCGUGAAAGUCAUCCGAGUAAGGUAAUGACCAAGAAUGUAUGGAAUGGUUCAAUCUCCCAUAUGAUCUGCUCUUUGAGUUCCCUGUAGUAAGGAGAAUGGAUUCACCUCUCUCAGUACAGUGGUUAAUUACAAGUAGCUGUCACUAACUAUGCUUAUGUUUGUGCUAAUGUCCAAAUCAAAUGUUGUCCUGCCAAAUGCUAUGUGCAACAGAAAGACAAGUUAUAGUUCUGCAGACAUUGGGCCGUGAGAUUUGGCCUUGUAACAAUGCCAAAGGGAGUUCACAACCAACCCAUAAUGCAAUUGUCAGACAGUAAUGACUGGCGAGAUGUUCCUGACAUGAAUGCAGAGACUCGGGCAUCAUCUAAAUUAAAUUAUUAAAGGCGGGUCCCAAGCCCCUGCAGCGAUUAUCAGUCCGUCUUAAUCUUGUGCUACAAACAAGUCUUGUCCUUGGUGAGAUUCAGCAGGAAUAGCUGGCUGUUUGCUUAAUGUGACAUGAAAACACAAUGUGGACAUCACAUAUUUUCCUGUUACCGUCAGUGGAUUUCUGGCAUCCUGUGGGAACAGUUAAAGGCAGCAGUUGAACGUGUGUUAUUGUUACCCUUGAAGAAGUUUUAUCCUUUUGUUGUAUUAAUACCAUGGGGCUGACUGUUAACAAGAGUCAAUGUCUGCCUGUGGUGAAGAGCCUACUAAUCAAUGUUAGUAAAUGUAAGUAAUUAUCCUACAAAGGAGGUAAUCAGUGUGAGUCACACUCAGCCUGAAGGCCAACAAACACUUUAGCCUGUGUGCUAAGAUGUUAGCUUGGCGCAUGUUUAGUGGAAUCAAUUUCCUCCAAUUAAGAACACAAACUAGUGUUGUUUCCAAUAUAUCAAACUUUUUAACUCCUCUUUCUGAAAUAUGUUUUUCCUUCUUUGACCAAAAACGAUAAGAACAUCAAUAUUCCCGAUAAUCACGGACCCAGUCCCAGCUACGGCAUGUAUGAAUAUUUCUGUUUGAUAUGAUUUUUUAUGGUUUUCAGAGCUCAGGAACGAAUGGUCUUGGAGAGAGACUAAGAAAUAGUUGGUUUGCAAUUGGAUUUGACCCCUGUCAACAAACCAUAAAUGACUAGCAGCCAGGGAGGCUGAACAGCAUCUCAGCGCCUGCGGUUCUGCACAGGCUCACGAUAGCCUGAUAAGGUGCACGGGGCCCAGAAGAUCCCCAGUGCGAGAGGCUCGCUGGCUCACCCUGACUGGUGACGGCAGCUUGUGCGCAUCCAGACACAACCUGGCACAUCUCAGUCCGGGAAAAAAAGACUGUGCAUCCAGGAAAAGCGCCCAGAGGCCUGGGGCAUUGUCAUAAUGAUACAGCAAAAAGGGAAUGAAAUAUGAAAAGCACCUUCCACUGUACGAGGCACAUGAUUGACUUGCCGGGCGAGUGAUUGUCACCACAAGCUAUCAGACACUGAAACUUCACACAUUCUGCAUCUGUAUUGCACUGGUACACACUGCUUGAGAGGUGCAUUUUCUUCUCCCUGAAAUAGGAAGUGUUUGCCGUCCUGGAAUGCAUUCCCCUCGGAAAUCUCCAACAUGAGAGAAACAAACAUCCUUCCCAUGAUACAUUAGCUAUUCAUUCACAUUUGCAUGGUUAUGUCGGAUGCUGCCAAGACUCACUCUCUGUGCAAUGCUAAUCAAAUCCUGCAGCGACUGGAUAAGACCAAUGCACCCUCCCUUUGAGCCAGAGCCAACACUAAUAUGAAUGACUCAUUUGCAAUGUAAAACAAGAUCAAUUAGUAAUCCAGCAUGGAGGGUGCAUGCAAACCACCCCUUAACCUAAAAUAUAAAAACCUGUUUCUGGAAAUGACAAGCUGUUGUGGUUCUUUAUGCUUAACGGGAUUACACAGUUCUGGAUGGGAUGCAGUAAAUAGUGAGGCUGUAAAGGAAUCUGUUUCCCUUUAAAAAAAAAAAAAGAAACCUAUCGCACGUCUUUCAUAGCUGACCUUUCCUUUCACACUUAAUUGAAGUCACUGCAAUUGUGUUUAAUUCAAAUGAUUUGGAAUGCAACAUGGCCUUUGCUCUCCAAUCGUAACAAGCCAUGCAAUUGGAGACCUUGUCUGUCAUUGUGUUUCUAUUCUCUCACUCUACUCUUUCUCUCUCCCCUCUGCACCGCCAUUAAGCGAGCAGCAGAAAGAGAUUACCGGAGGAUUCCAGAUGCAGGGUUGAAGACCUCAUUUGGGGGAUAUUUCAUCUCUUAUCCUAUAUUGCAGCUGAGCAAGGAGCUUUCUCCUUUACCCCCUGCUGUGGCAUUUACCAAAUUGGGAAACACUGUUCCUUCUCCAGAGUGUCAGGAAUGUUUAACUAUCUCGUUAAUGCACAAAAAGGAUUUUUGUGUCCCAGGAUCAAAGUGUAUCAUUGGAGGGAUUGGGAGUCAUAUCUGUAAGCUCUGCUGAUACUCCAAGAGGUCUGGACUGAGAUUUAAUGGGAGUGCUGCUAAGUAGAGGGUGACAUGGAUUUAAAAUGUAACUUCCUUGUAUCUUGGCCAUUAUUGGAUUCUUAUGAUUCCUUCCGGUCCACUGACUUUUGCAGUUGCAGAACCCAUCCAUUCAUUCAUUCAUCAUUAAUUCGUUGCAUCCAUUCAUCUCCACUCUUGUUUCAAUCAAAAGUAAUAGCUUACUGUAUCGAAACAGCUGCAGUCCUGAGCUGUAUACACAGUAUAUCAUUAAUUAUGAGAAAUACAGUACAUACCGUCACCUUGAAUUUACACAGACAUAGAGGAUGUGCUGUGCACUACAAACAAGGCUAAUCAUUUUCCGCCAAAAAUAAUCAAUUGAAUGAUGACUGAAUUAUGUAUAGUUGCUUUAAUAUCUGUGUCUUUAUCUUGACGGUAGUUAUACAUGGCUAACUGGGACUUUUGAAUAGCACAGAGCUGCUUUUAAUGUUGUUGGUAAAACCCUUUGCUUUUUACCACUAUGCGAGAGGCUGUAACUAUGUUAAAUUAAAUAUCCCUGCAAAGUUCAAUGAUUCAUGGAUAAUAGAUAGAUUUGUAGCUCUCUAAUAAAAUAACUAAAAGGGGUUCUUUUGCUAUGAGGCCACCAUCAAAAAUUUUGGUUCCCAUGAAACUGAAGUGCAUUCGCAUUUACCUUUUCAAAGUAAAAUUUAAACUGGAGAGCAGUCACAGGUAUUAAUAAUGUGAUGAAAAAUAUAACUAACAGGUUCCAUCUCAUGGUCUAAAGCUCUGUGUGAAACUUAUUUUUGAUACAUAAUGUGCAAGUGUUCUUCAAAGAAAUCCAAAUAAAACAUCAACACUCAAUUCACAAGCAGUUUUUUUCCAUGGGAGCGUUGUCUUUUUAUUAAUUAAUUUAGGACUUUCUUCUGUCAGGAUACAUAGCCGAGACCAAUGAGGACUUGUCAUCGGCUCUAUUUCAACCCUGAAUGACCCUGAAGCCCUGCAGGCUUGGGUUGUCAGUCUGUUUCGUCUGCUUCCCCCGGUAGUCACCAUUGCGGUUCUGUGAGUUCCAUUGCCUGACUUUGUGCACUACUGACUUUCUCUCCGUCUGUAGAGUUCCGGUACUCCGCUUGCCUCCGGCGUCGAGCCACGGGACUCACACCGUGAUCUGCCUACCUUCUCACGUCGUCUUGUUGGGGCAACGAAUACAUUUGGUAACCCUAUAGUUGCUCCUGUGGUUGCAUUUGGGUCCUAAUCCUUGUUCUCCCGUGACAUCAACAUUAGGAUUGUACUGGACUGUAAUGCCUACACAUGCACACAGGGAAUACAUAGAAGUCAAGUCCAAAUAACCCUUUAUAAUAUUUCAAUCAGGAAAGAUGUAAUGAGGCCAUCAAACUGGGGUGACUUUAUUUCAUAGAAGUGGAUUGGAUAGACCUGUAGAGAUAGCCCUGUGAUGGACAACCGGUCAAAGGUCCCUCGGGGCGUAGAUAGGUGGAAGGACAAAGUGGCAAAGCAGCAAGGACUGAAGAGGUUGAUAAAACUGGUCCACCACUAAAAUGAGCAUUGGAUGAAAGUCGGACAACAACUAGGAGGUGAGGAUGAAAGACCACAACAAAGGAAAGAAGGGAUUCCUUUUCCACAGGGCACGCAAAGGGGGCAUUGGAGAUUUCCAGUUGUACCUGUCUGACUCACACGGUCAUAAAACCUGAAACAGAAUGGUAUGUUCUGUUCAUUAAAAAAUAUUUUCCGACAGAUUUGUUCCAUUGAGUAGAUUAUGAGAGGAAAUAUGUAUAAUUUCAAUCCCUACCACAACACUAGUUUUUAUGAAAACACAAUGACCAAAGUGAUUCCAGAAAGAUCGCCUAGUCAUGCCCCAGAACAAUAAGCUUAGAUCAGCAGAAUGAGAACCGUGGGGAAAUGCUUGAGUCCACAUGUGCGCUAGAAGUAAUGUACUGUAUAAAAACUACAAGUAGUUAUUACUGAGAAUUUGAUGCAAUUUAAUUUGAAAAUUCGUAACUUCAUAACUUUAGGAUUUGGAAAAAUGAGCUUUAAAUAUAUUGUAGAACAUCGUCAUCAGGGGGAUUUUAUGUAGAGCAAUCCCGAAUGGUGGAGGUGAAAACUAAGAAUCUUCAGUGAUGAGAUGAUAAUGAGCAAGAGACAUAAAUCAAACAGCAACUUUCUGUUGAUGUAAUUUCAUUCAUUGAGUAAUUAUAAUUUGUUUGUAUUGCCGUGAAUAAAUGUGACUUUUGACAGUGCACAUGCAAUCAUUGCCAAUAAUCCAGGCUUAAAAUAUUUUCAUUUUACAACCAGUUAAUCAAAAUCUGAAUACUCCCUAACAUAGAGUAUCCACAGAGAGCGCCGACCACUUACUCCUCCAUCUCUGAUUAAACAACGUCUAUCUUUAUUAGGCUUCCGUGACACAAAGUCAUUCAAAUUUGAGUCCCGAAAAAUACAUUCAGUAUCAUGAGUCAUGAGUCAAUGACGCGGCAGACUCUGUGUCAUGAGACCCGUGGGAUUGUGUCAAGGCUUUGCUUCCUUUCUGCAUGUGUGUACAGCACAUCUCUGCUUUACACAGAUUUACACCUGAGUGGGUUUUAUUAGAUUAUGUCCAUUAUGGCUCUGACAUUCCUCUGUGAAGUCCAAUGCACUAAUGGAAAGGGAUUCGGCUUUAUUAGCAUUUGAGGAAUUAUUUAAUCUCUUGGUACGUCUCAAUUUGUCUUUUGCAAUGUGUCUUUUCCCUUCCUGUAUCGAAUAAUUGUGAUGCAGAAAAUACACCCCCGGAUUUUAUUGAUAAGCUUAAGUCUUUUACUCAAUUGAGACCCAAAGAAGUACAAGAAGGUUUGACACAGAUCUCACCUUUAAAUCUGCUGUUUCAUGAGUGGAUUAUUGCAUUACUUCGCUGUUGAGCAAUGCUGACUCAGCGCAAGUUUGCUGAGCGUAACAAAAAGAUGAAGCCCCCCUUGUCAGCUCAUCGGUGAGCGAACACCCCUUCGCACGAAAUCUUCCAGGAGGUGCAUUGUUGAGAAGCAAAGCUCUGAAUGUGGACAACACUCUCCGUAUAAAGUGCUGUAAGGUGUGGUCCUCUGGGGGAACGUGGAAUGACGAAUAUACAGCGACUUAAUUUAGCAACACAGUCUGCACAGUCAGCACACAGUACGCGUCCGGCUCCAGCUCCUUCGUCAGAUUCUCUCUCGCUGUCGCCGGAUUUCUCCUACUUAAAGGUAGAACACAUAGAUUGAUUAAUCCCACCUGAGGCUGAAUAUGCCACUGUUCCCUGAACCACUCCCUUCUCCGUCCCCCCUGCAGCCAAGCCAAACCACGCACGUCACCACAUACCCCCACCGCCCGACUUAGGCCGGGGAGCCAUCCGGCCGAACCUACCCCCCCCCCCCCCCCCCCCCCUUCGCCGAGAGGGCGGGAGAGGAAGUCUGCCACGACCAUCUGCGCCCCGGCCUAUGGACCACCAUAAAUUAAAAGGCUGUAGAGCCAGAUACCACCGAGUGAUCCGGGCGUUGGCAUCUUUCAUGCGGUGGAGCCAUUGGAGCGGGGCGUGGUCUGAACAGAGGGUGAAUGAGCGUCCCAGGAGGUAGUAGCGUAGGGAGUCGACCGCCCACCGGAUGGCCAGGCACUCCUUCUCCACUGUGCUGUACCUGGCCUCCCUCUCAGACAGCUUCCUACUGAUGAACACCACGGGGCGGUCCACCCCCCCCCCCCACCCCCUGGGACAAAGCAGGACCCCUGUUCGACGUGUCGGUCUGCAGAAUAAAGGGGAGAGAGAAGUUAGGAGUAUGAAGGAGUGGUUCCCCACAGAGAGCCUGCUUUACCUUCUCAAACGCCUGCUGGCACUGCACCGACCACUGGACCGGAUCUUACGCACCUUUCCGGGUCAGGUCGGUCAAGGGGCUGGUGAGGUCCGCGAAGCCGGGGAUGAACCGCCUGUAGUACCACGCCAGCCCCAAGAACCGCCUCGCCUCUUUUUUUGUCUUGGGCCGCGGGCAGGCCGCGAUGGCUGCCGUCUUGUCCAUCUGAGGGCACACCUGCCCGCUCCCCAAGUGGUACCCCAAAUACCGUACCUCCACCCGUCCAACUGCACACUUCCCGGGGUUGGCGGUGAGCCCCGCCUGUCCAAGCGCCUCCAGCACCGCGCCCACCUGCCGCAAAUGCUCCGCCCAGGUGGUGCUGUGGAUAAUCACGUCGUCCAGGUAGGCGGCAGCAUAUGCAGCGUGCGAACGCAGCACCCGAUCCAUGAGACACUGAAACGUGGCCGGGGCCCCAAACAGCCUGAAGGGAAGUGUGGCAAAUUGGUACAAACCGUUCGGGGUGGAGAAUGCCAUUUUCUCAUUGGACUCUGGCGACAGAGGAAUCUGCCAGUAGCUCUAGGUUAAAUCCAGUGUCGUGAAGAAACGAGCAGUGCCUAGCCGGUCCAGGAGUUCGUCGACCCGGGGCAUUGGGUAGGCAUCGAACCGUGUCACGUCAUUCACCCUGCGAUAUUCCACGCAGAACCGUACAGAUGCAUCCUUCUUAGCCACAAGGACGAUGGGGCUGCACCAGGCACUGUUGGACACUUCUAUUACCCCCAACUCCAACAUACUCGCCAAUUCCCUCCGAACCACUUCUUUCCACUUGUUCGGGCAACCUGUAGGGCCGUGGCCUCACCGUCACGCCCGGGGGCGUCUCGAUACUGUGCACUAUGAGGUCGGUCCGGCCUGGCAAGGGAGAGAACACAUUAGCAAACCGCUCCUGCAACCUGGCGACGUCCGCCCUCUGGCUCUCGGAGAGAUGAGCAUCACGAGGGAGCUAUGGUUACACAGUCCGCGCCGCCAGCUGCUCCAGCGCCUGGGCCUGUCUCCCCACCUGUGCCUGGAGCGCCACCAGGAACUGUCGGUUGGCCUCCGCUUGCUCCCGUUGGAUGGCCGCCAGUUCCCCGAUCAUGUGGCCGAGCACCACAAUCGGCUGGGCCGGCCUCCCCAGGUGGUGGUCGCCAUCGGUCAGUUCCAUCUCGCAGUCACGUUGGGCGCCACUGUAACGUGUGGUCCUCUGGGGGAACGUGGAAUGACGAAUAUACAGCGACUUUAUUUAGCAACACAGUCUGCACACAGUACGCGUCCGGCUCUAGCUCCUUUGCCAGAUUCUCUCUCGCUGUCGCCGGAUUUCUCCUUCUUAAAGGUAGAACACAUAGAUUGAUUAAUCCCACUUGAGGCUGAUUAUGCCUCCCCCGGCACCGUUCCCUGAACCACUCCCUUCUCGGUCCCCCCUGCAGCCGAGCCAAACCACACCCGCCACCACAGGUGCUAAGGCAGUGCAGAGCCUCUCGCAAACCAGAACGUUGUCAUGCACUCGUACCAACACAGGAGAAAGAAAACGCUGCCGCAAUUGUAGUUUUUUCAUUUCAGCGACGUGCUUCUUUGUUACAAAAAAAGAAAACCUGUCAACGACUCUUUCUUAAAAUGCAUAAAAAGCUUUUAUUAAAGAUAAAUUAAAGAGCAAUAACCUUCAUAGUGGGGCUUUUCACUUCACAGGUGUGAGUUUGUUAGGAAGAAGCCUGGAGCAUUAGGACGCACCGUGUGAAUUGUCCUAAUGCGCUCCGGUGGCUGUGUGAUAGGCUGCUAACACUCCUUGCACAUACUCAACUCCGCUCAGCUGAACAUGAAAUGGAAAUGCAGUGGCUUGUUGGGGGGAGGAGGGGGGUGCAAUCUUUGCCGCAUCGCAUUAAGCAUUAGAAAGCACUGGGGCCAGCGUUUGUUCCUAGCGUGCCAAUGGGGGCUUUUCCUGCUCAUAUUCUCUUAUCGAAGUCUUUGUGCUGUAUGCUCAUCACUGAGAUCACAUGAUCAUAUCUGCUUUAUAGGGUUAAAGAAGAGCUCAUGUGAAGAUUCACGUUUUCCGAUUGCAUUCCAAGGACUCUUUUUCCACCCUAAAGUCCCCCCGAGGGGGGGGGGGGGGGGGCAGAACCAGUACCAUAAUCCAUUAUUUAGGUAUAUAUCAUGAAAAAAUACUCUUUAAAUCUUUUGAUUCAACAGAGUCCUGGCUACAAUAAUCAUCAAUCAAAAUGAAAUUACUCCAAACAGAACAGAACUGAAAAAUUGUGAGUAUGGUGGUGUAAAACUUUUUCAGUCAAAAGUGCUACAAUGGAAAACAAAAUCAAAUAGCAUCAGCCGAAUCUAGUCAUUUAGGUUUUAUUUCUCUUAGACAAAGCCCGCCAAAACAUUGCAUCAAUAAAAUAGAAAUAUAUCUGAGCGCACACACACGUAGCUCAGCAGCCUGCGCAGGCAAAGCCAGGGUUCAAUCCUCUGAGUCCUGGCUACAAUAAGCAAGAAGACAAUUUUUACCAAGUAGGAGUAAAAGUAAGAGUAAGAGGAGUAACAUACUCCAUGCAGAUUUGUCCAGAAAUGUUGGAAUUGACCGAACAAAUGUGCCAUAUUUUUAUGACGCUUCAAGCUAGCCACACUUCCCACACACAAGGGGAACACGCUGAUUACGGUGAAAUAAGUAUCAUUUUGCUGACAAACCAUGCCGAACCAGUACAAAACUCAUCAAGCCAUGGAAGCGAAAAACUCAGGAAUGUGUAAAUUGUCGUUUUUUCACUGAUUUAAUCAGCGGUUGCCAGGGCUCAGUGCGAGGUAAAAUGGCUCCUGCAGUCGUCUGGUAGUUUUUUUUUGAGCCAAUCAGAAAUAUUGAGUGUCAUGUGAUGCUUUUCCCGUUUUUUCAAAGUAAAAGCGAGGGGAAGUCAGGGAUCGCUUGACGUCACUUUCGUCAUAUUUAGGUUGAUUAAACAAAUCAAUAGAGUGGUCAUCCGCCCCGAAUCGGCUGAUCUGAACUCUACCCAGGCUGUUGUGAGAAUCCAUCUGGUGAUCUUUAAUUAAACUAAAUGAAAAAACAUCUCAUCAAGGCAUGAAGACACUCACAGUAAACAAUGUGUCAAAGCCCUGAACUCAAACCCAAUAAAAAAUAUCUAGCAAGGCGUUAAACAGGUCAUUCCCUCUCAAAUGUCAAUUUGAGUUGCUGUUGAACGAACUAAGCUAUUGUUGUGUUAGCUAAGCUAUGUCCUCUAACGUCAGCCAACUGUGCUUAACAUGAGCCUGUGAAGAAACAGAAUUGCAGAAGCAUUCCCAAUAGCUCAUUCUUGUCUUUCACCGUAUGCGCUGGGUACCGGGGGGCGGGCAUUCAUUCCUGCUUUUUAGUGUUAGAACCGGAGCAUCUGAAGUAAACUCAAAAUUAUUAUCUGGCCAGGAUCUUGACCAUUUCAAAAAUAAAAAUGUGUUACUUUAGCUUCACUAAUUAAAGUAUGUGGGGAAAAAUGUAGCAACUGGAAUCAACCCGAUAAAAAAGAUUCAGCCAGGUGUUAAACAGGGGUUCAUUUUCUCUCAAAUGUCUAUUCAACUGUCUGAUCAAACAACUGAACUAAGUGUAUUAGUUAGAGUUUCAACAUAUCAACAACCGCCUGUUACACGAGUACCUCGUCCUAAAGUUGGCCUGUUCAACAUUCCUCUUGAUGACAUGACCAAAGUGUAAACGGCCAAAUUAUGUCUUUUAACUUACUUAAAUUAACCCGAUUCAUUCAUUCAUCAGUUUUUUGGUAAAACCGUAGCACACGGAGUACAAGAUAAAAGAUAUGUACAUAUUGUGGUAGACUGCAGGGAGAGGUGAGGGCUUGGUGAUGCAGGGGAGGUAUCUUGCGGUCAGAUGGCUCCACCCCCAAGCCUUAUAUGGACAUCCUGCCUAGAGAGGGUGGGAACAGUUUAGUUAUUGAGGAGAGCAUAAAAAUUGAGAGGAAGAGAGAUGAAAAAAAAGUGAGACGUAGUUUCGGAAAGUCGAGUAGAGAACCCGCUUGUGUAUGACCUGGCAAAAGAAGACGACGAGAACGGCUUGUGAAUGGUGACGUGUUGAGCUUACCCCCCUUUACUGUCAAUUAACCAAAAUAAACUGUGUUCAACUGUACCCAGGGGCCGGCUUUUGUUUUUGAACGGUGACGUGGCCGGAUAUUAUAGAUAUUAUAGAGACAUAUACGAUAUGGAUUAUGGUCUGUCUCGGUCAAUGUCAUCUGUGACCUCAGAUGAUCCCCAUGGUCUAUAAAUUCUGGUGUCAUCCUGUCUACUCUGGGGCGGAUCGGCCCUCAGUCAGCCAGAUCCGCUGUAGAGUCAGACUUGGUUUGGCCAUGCGCACCGGAUCCACUCCCCCUACGGAUCGCUCACUGUCAAACGGCGCACCCGCUGUGGACACAAUUUGGAUCUGCACAUUGAAUGCACCUUUUUCCCUAAUUCAAAUACUGCAGGCAGGUAAUAGGCUGCCUAAAUUGAGGGCCCACGCAGUUUUGAACGAGACGAGCAGUGGAUCAACCUCGAGGAAAGCCUUUUUUAGGUGACUGAUUUGGUAAGCUCUUUUUCUUUCCUUAAAUCAAAAAGAUUAUUUUAAGAGUGGAACGUUGACACUGAAACUUAUAGACGACGAGGAUCGUCCAAGGUCACGGGUGACUCUGUCGGUAUAGCGACUUACCCUGCGCAUGCGUGAUACAGAAAUAAAUCCAGUGUUAGGCACUCCCUCAAGUGGUCAUCCAGGAUUCAUAGUUUUCUGUGAAUACCUCUCCUGAUGUUGUGUCUGAGCUUUUUUAUGUGGUUUAUUUGAUUGCAGAAGUGUUUUAACAAAUGUUUUGUUUUCGACAUGUGACACAUACAACUAAAUGAAAAAACAUCUCAUGAAGGAUGUGACCCUUACAGUAAACAAUGUGUCAAAGCUCAUAACACCGUUGUUGCUUAUGUACUGUACUGAACAGCCAAAUGAAAAUGUAUGACUGGAGUUCUGAAUGCUCCCCUCAGGAAAGUACUAGAACGUACUCAUGAAUGACAGAAGACAGAGUGGAGUAUUUUCCCGUGGGAGCAUCUCUCCUGAUCCUCAUUUUUCUUCACAAAUGCAGAUCAAAUUAUUGAUAUCAGAUUCUGGUUAAUAAUGGACUUUUUUUUUGGUCUCUAGACAUUUUAGUUAGAAUAAAUCCAAGCAAGUUCUGCUAGUUUGGAUAUAUAUUUAUACCAUUACUAAGGUUGGUAAAUCAUAAAAUGUUAUGUGGAUUUGCUUUUGUCUGUACAAAGACAGCAGAGAGAUUUUUUGUGGCAUGACGCAGUGUCUGUUUUAAUGCCUCUUUUAAUUGUUUCAUACCCCAUAUAUCUCCUAUCACUCUGGGAACUUGGCACCCCUCACAUCUCAUCUAUAAUUCAGUGCGAGUAUGCUCCUUGACACAGUGCAAUUAAUUAGUCCUUUUGUUCAUUAAAGGCAUGGCUUUUAGAAGACCAUCAUGUUUUAUUUGGGUUUUUAAUUACUUUGUGCUUUGGCAGGCUUCUAUUUCCAAGAUGUAUAGAAGGCAGGCCCCGGCCGCCAUCCAAUUAGAAGGAGAUCUCGUUGUUUAUCCAUUAUGAUGAGGAGAACGCUGCGUUUGACUUGUAGGGGAAACAUGACUCGGUGCGAAUGUGAGACUCAUUUUACAUGUGAUGUAAUGUGAUUUGCAUACCUUUGAAAUGAUCUUCAGCUGCCGCGGGUCAAUUGAUUUGCCAUUCAGUUUCAAACCACCAAGAGACUCCUGCAGAAUACUGGUGCACAGCGUGUUUCAUCAUUGUGCAGUUUGCCCUGCAGCACCUGGCAACCAUGACACGACUCAGACGGGAUAUAAAAAACACACAAUAUGUUUGCUGUGAUGGAUUAAGUUACAAAUUACACUCCACUCCGCAGAGAUUUUUCAGAAGCCACUUAUGGUUCAAAGACAAUAAACAUACGUUGGAUUUCUGACCCAAACGGAUCAACGGGAUCAAAUACAUUUUUCUAACCAUUCAAGAAAAUAAAACUGCACAUUACAGCUAUUACAGUGGUGGCAAGGAAUUCAUUUUUGGUAUGGCCAUCAUUCAAUCGAUUUCAUUAAACAUUUCUGUGAUUCAGCCCUGUGAUUGCCUGGCGACCAGUCCGGGGUGUACCCAGUCUAUCGCCCGAAGUUGGCUGGGAUAGACUCCAGCUCCCCCGUGACCCUGUGUGCAUGGAUAGAUGGAUCUCUGUGAUUCAACACAAAAAAAGGUAUCAAACAAUUAUUGCUUUCCUGUGUCCGUCGUCCAGCUGGGUACUAAUGUUAACUCUACCUAAUACGGCUGGCUUGAAGGAGUUAUCCAUAUAUUUUUUUCAAAUAAGUGCUUACUACUGUAUCGGUUCAUGCUGGAUUCGGUCCCCAUUGAUUUAAAAAGCCAGCCUGGGAAGCAAAAACCUUCCGGGUGUAGCAGUCUCUACAGAAGCUUCGGGCUUCCCUUUCACGUCAGUCUGUCGUCAGGUUAGUCUGGGCCUAGUUGUUUUUUACCUCUAGUUUCUCUGCCAAAUUUCUUCUCUCAAACAGGUCUUAGAGGAGAGAUUUUACCGGGAUAUGGUUUGGUCUUCUUUGAAGAAUAUUGCUUGUGCUUGCCAUGGUCAUGUCGUUAAAAGGGCGCCUCGCGACAUUAGCCCUGACGAGAACGCAUCGUUGGGGAUGGUUGACGAUGGCCAAGGCUGAAUCGGAUUUAGAAACGCUGAUUGGCUAACUAAUUAUUUAUAUCUAAUCCGUAAUCGGUGAUACUGCUUCUUAGACCGGCCUCUUUUAGGCCGGAUGGCUCUUGCCCCAGCCCAGCUGAGACAUGCACACAAGCACAGAGGACGUGCAGGAAAAGCAUGUAUUUUUCAGAGAUAUCUUACUGGGUAUAUUCCAUAUUUUAAAAAAAGAACACAAAUAUUGACAAUUUUUUAAAUGUAUUAUUAUUAUAAUGAAAAGAAAUUGAAUCUUUUUGUUUUUCUUAAAAAAACAUGAAUGUUUCCAUAUUUUGACAAAUCCUCUGAGCCACACCCUUCAUGACAAUCAGUUUAGCGUUGUUUGUACUCCUUGCACUGCUCACUUUGGCUGCCAGAAUACAUUGAGGAGGUGACCGCUCAAAGACAUAUCCCCAAAAUGUUUAAAUUUGCACACUUCCAAAACAUGUAGAUAUGAAUUCCACCUUCAGCAUUACAUUUACUGCAUGUAGGGCCUCGCCCUCAGCAGUGGUGUGCAAUGCAGUCUGGGUAAUAUUUUAAAUUGUCUUUCUCGGUCUGUGCUACCAACCAGAAUCUUAAGCCUGUUUUCCGUUGUGGAUGCAUCUUCAUCUAUCUGAUAGUCCACUGCCACUGUAUGCGGAUGUUGUCAGUGGAGUUAUUAAGAUUAAGGCCAAAGGUCGCAUUGACAUGAGAU